GCAGAGUAAGGCUGUGUGCGUAAAGUGCCGUCCCAACGGGGAGUUGUGGGGUGGACGAAAAGGGAGGCAUCCCUUGCGGUACGCAGCCUGCAUCCCGCUGC
rnacentral:ncRNA from 1 species